AGAGUUUGAUCAUGGCUCAGAUUGAACGCUGGCGGCAGGCCUAACACAUGCAAGUCGAGCGGUAGCACAGAGAGCUUGCUCUCGGGUGACGAGCGGCGGACGGGUGAGUAAUGUCUGGGAAACUGCCUGAUGGAGGGGGAUAACUACUGGAAACGGUAGCUAAUACCGCAUAAUGUCGCAAGACCAAAGUGGGGGACCUUCGGGCCUCAUGCCAUCAGAUGUGCCCAGAUGGGAUUAGCUAGUAGGUGGGGUAACGGCUCACCUAGGCGACGAUCCCUAGCUGGUCUGAGAGGAUGACCAGCCACACUGGAACUGAGACACGGUCCAGACUCCUACGGGAGGCAGCAGUGGGGAAUAUUGCACAAUGGGCGCAAGCCUGAUGCAGCCAUGCCGCGUGUGUGAAGAAGGCCUUCGGGUUGUAAAGCACUUUCAGCGGGGAGGAAGGCGGUGAGGUUAAUAACCUCAUCGAUUGACGUUACCCGCAGAAGAAGCACCGGCUAACUCCGUGCCAGCAGCCGCGGUAAUACGGAGGGGUGCAAGCGUUAAUCGGAAUUACUGGGCGUAAAGCGCACGCAGGCGGUCUGUCAAGUCGGAUGUGAAAUCCCCGGGCUCAACCUGGGAACUGCAUUCGAAACUGGCAGGCUAGAGUCUUGUAGAGGGGGGUAGAAUUCCAGGUGUAGCGGUGAAAUGCGUAGAGAUCUGGAGGAAUACCGGUGGCGAAGGCGGCCCCCUGGACAAAGACUGACGCUCAGGUGCGAAAGCGUGGGGAGCAAACAGGAUUAGAUACCCUGGUAGUCCACGCCGUAAACGAUGUCGAUUUGGAGGUUGUGCCCUUGAGGCGUGGCUUCCGGAGCUAACGCGUUAAAUCGACCGCCUGGGGAGUACGGCCGCAAGGUUAAAACUCAAAUGAAUUGACGGGGGCCCGCACAAGCGGUGGAGCAUGUGGUUUAAUUCGAUGCAACGCGAAGAACCUUACCUGGUCUUGACAUCCACAGAACUUUCCAGAGAUGGAUUGGUGCCUUCGGGAACUGUGAGACAGGUGCUGCAUGGCUGUCGUCAGCUCGUGUUGUGAAAUGUUGGGUUAAGUCCCGCAACGAGCGCAACCCUUAUCCUUUGUUGCCAGCGGUUAGGCCGGGAACUCAAAGGAGACUGCCAGUGAUAAACUGGAGGAAGGUGGGGAUGACGUCAAGUCAUCAUGGCCCUUACGACCAGGGCUACACACGUGCUACAAUGGCAUAUACAAAGAGAAGCGACCUCGCGAGAGCAAGCGGACCUCAUAAAGUAUGUCGUAGUCCGGAUUGGAGUCUGCAACUCGACUCCAUGAAGUCGGAAUCGCUAGUAAUCGUAGAUCAGAAUGCUACGGUGAAUACGUUCCCGGGCCUUGUACACACCGCCCGUCACACCAUGGGAGUGGGUUGCAAAAGAAGUAGGUAGCUUAACCUUCGGGAGGGCGCUUACCACUUUGUGAUUCAUGACUGGGGUGAAGUCGUAACAAGGUAACCGUAGGGGAACCUGCGGUUGGAUCACCU
rnacentral:rRNA from 1 species